rnacentral:rRNA from 1 species
GACGAACGCUGGCGGCGUGCUUAACACAUGCAAGUCGAACGGAAAGGCCCUGCUUUUGUGGGGUGCUCGAGUGGCGAACGGGUGAGUAACACGUGAGUAACCUGCCCUUGACUUUGGGAUAACUUCAGGAAACUGGGGCUAAUACCGGAUAGGAGCUCCUGCUGCAUGGUGGGGGUUGGAAAGUUUCGGCGGUUGGGGAUGGACUCGCGGCUUAUCAGCUUGUUGGUGGGGUAGUGGCUUACCAAGGCUUUGACGGGUAGCCGGCCUGAGAGGGUGACCGGCCACAUGGGGACUGAGAUACGGACCAGACGCCAACGGGAGGCAGCAGUGGGGAAUAUUGCAGAAUGGGCGGAAGCCUGAUGCAGAAACGCCGCGUGCGGGAUGACGGGCUUCGGGUUGUAAACCGCUUUCGCCGGUGACGAGGCGUGAGUGACGGUAAUGGAUAAAGAAGCACCGGCUAACUACGUG